GGCCGCGGCUGACUAUUGCUUCAGCGGGAUCUUUCUCUGCUUUUAAACAAAGAAAGCGUGAGGGUCGGGCACUCAUUGAGGGGAGACGCGCAACGUAAAAGGUGCCUUUGUGCCCCGCGUGAGGCCUUCGGAGAACGGCUCUCUGCCAGCACACACUGGUGACAGACCCGUUCGUCACAGAUUCGAACCACCGUCAGAUGCUGUGUACCUAGCCGCCUCACGCUCCUGCUGCCUGACUUCACCGCCAUGAUGGACUGUGUGCCCUUAAACUCAUCUAUGGCUGGUCACCAUGUGCCUGCAGUGUCUGCAGAGGCCAGAAGAGGGCAUCUGAUCCCCUUGAACUGGAGUUAACUGAUGAUUAACAACCACGAUGUGGGUGCUGGGAAUCAAGCCUGGGUCUUCUGCAAGAGCAACAAGUGCUUUUAAUCGCUGAACCAUUGCUUCCGGUCUGUAAGUUACAAGUUUAAGAGUAAGGAUUCAAAUAUUAAGUCUUUUGAGAAUCAAUGAAUAUUUAUCAAUAAGCACCAAGAAGAGGAAGA